rnacentral:lncRNA from 1 species
GUUUUAUGGAUCAGCAUGCCACUUCUUCACUAAAGAAGCAGUAGGAGAAUCAAGACCAGGUGGACUAAGGGAAGGCAAAAAGAACUGUCUAAAAAUUGAUUGCCUGUGAGUACAACAGCAUGUCACCAGUGGUGUACUGUUCAUGAAGAAGCUUUGGUUUGUGAAUGAGGCAUCAUUCUUUGGAUUAGAUAAGGUGGCUUGCAAAGUGCCAGCUGAAACUUGACUUUUGAAGUGGUCUGAUACCUGUUCAAAGAGAAUAUACAGGUUUCUCUGGUGCAAUGCUACUAUCCACAUUGAAGAUAAAUCAGCCCUCUACUUUUAGAGUCCUUGGAGUCACUGCAGCUUCUUCCUGGAUAUUUUGUACCCUAAAGUGUGUCCUAUGUUCCACUGUGCCCUGUUCUCCUGAUGGAAGCCAUCUAAGUCAAAGCCCAUCUUCUCUCCCCUGGCAUCUCUUUAGAGGUACACAGGAGAUGGGACUAUCUUUCCCUCAGGUUAUUAUCACUCUGCUAGUCAGGAAAUGUAGCACAGGGAACCUAAUUGGUCAAAUUUGCAAGAAGUGUUACUAAUGUUAUCCCUGAUAACUUGGCACCUUGUAUUUCUUCCUUAUAUUUGAAUGUGUUUUUACCUCAAUACGUGGUUUACUUAUGCAAAACAGCCAUAAAAGCUGUUAAAGUUAUAAAGUUAAAACACUUACAGAAGAAAAAAGUCCUCUCUAAUUUGCUGUGGUGAUGCUCUUGGCUUUUUUUAGCCCCCUUUUGUUAUGGUAAGAUUUCCAGCAGUGGGUUUCUUUAGGUAGGAAAUCAAACUAGUUCUUUUCCUGACAGAAAGAAGAGGGCCUGCAGCUGCCUGUGACAUUGUUUUAGUGAUGUAGGAAUCUGGAGGAACAGGGAAACUGUGCACACAAAACUCCUGUAUUACUGAUUUUUCAAACAAGUAUAUUUUAAAAUAGAUGUUUCUUUCUGUUUUGGGUUUGUUUGUUUGUUUUUUUUGUUUUUUUCAU